UUUCUGAAUACAUGGUGUAUC
rnacentral:miRNA from 1 species